UCAGGCUCAGUCCCCUCCCGAUAAACCCCUAAAUAGGGACUUUCCCGGGGAGUGACCCUGGCU
rnacentral:pre_miRNA from 1 species